ACCGAAUUGGCUUAGUUGGGAGAAUGUUAGACUAUAGAUCGAAAAGUUUCUGGUUCGAUGCCGGGUUCCGGCA
rnacentral:tRNA from 1 species